UUCCUCAUGAACUAAAUGCUUGAACAAGAUUGGUUUAUAACAAAGUUUCUUGUAAAUGUGUUUGGUAAAUGUGUUCGGUACAUGGCAUUGUAUUGUAAUUUCAAAUGUGUUGAUUUAACAAAUAUUAUUACAUAUAUUUUGCGGACCAAACAUUGCAAGAGUUUGAAACUUAUGUUGUUGGCUGGAUUUAGUUAAGUUGUACUGUUUUUUUUAUGCCCCCAUUUCGAAGAAAAGGGGGUAUAUAGUUUUUGCACUGUCUGUCGGUCGGUCGGUCACACUUCAUGUCCGCUCUCUAAUUCAAAUAGUUUUCAUCCGAUCUUUACCAAACUUGGUCAGAAGUUGUAUCCAGACAAUAUCUAGGUCAAGUUCGAAUAUGGGUCAUGCCGGGUCAAAAACUAGGUCACUGGGUCACUUAGUGCAUUUCAAGGAUUUAGCAUGGUGUCCGCUCUCUAAUUGAAGUAGUUUUCAUCUGAUCUUAACUACACUUGGUAAGAAGUUGUAUUAAGACAAUAUCUAGGUCAAGUUUGAAUAUGGGUCAUGCCGGGUCAAAAACUAGGUCACGGGGUCACUUAGUGCAUUUCAAGGAUUAAGCAUGUUGUUUGCUCUCUAGUUUAUGUGACUUUCUGAUUUAUUUUGAUAUUCUAAGACAUUUUUAUGCCCCCGAAGGAGGGCAUAUAGUGAUCGGACUGUCCGUUCGUCUGUCCGUCCGUCUGUCCGUCAGCCUUUGCGUUAAGAUUUCGAAAAAUUCUCAUAACUUCUAUGUCGCUUCAGAUAGCAAUUUCAUAUUUGGCAUGCUUGUGUAUAUGGACAAGGCCUUUCCAUACGCACACAAAUUUUGACCCCUGUGACCUUGACCUUGAACUUAGGGUCCGCGUUUAGGUUCGAAAUCUGCGU